GGUGUGCUGUGAACACAGGGAGGAAAGAAAGUUUCAGUUGGUUUAUUCAUUUCCUUUCACCCAAUCACUGUACUGUUACUGUAUGUCUCUCCUUAAUUCACGUCAAGGACUUGAUCAAACCACUAAUCAUGUUUAACUUACUUAGAAUGUGUUAUCAUUUCUGAGAUAAUUCAGAUAUCACUAAAGGUGGUCACUUGAUAUGGGGAUUGGGGCAAAAAGUCACUAUUUCACUAUUUGUUAGCUUUUUUUCUUUCCUUGUGAAUACCAACACAAAUCAAUCGCUUUAUACAGGCCACACAAGACAGUCUGGAUGUAACAUUCAGUAAAUCUCAGUAAACUUUCAACGUUUUUCCGAAAAUGAUUAUGGAAUGUUUUGGCAACUUCCAUCAAUGGCUUGAUACAUAAGUAGGAUAAAAGGACAAUAACGUUUGUAAAGCUUGAGUACUUGACCAGGGCAAGAUUACCAUUAGCCUAGUAUUAGCAAGAAUUCUUCAUCUCUGCGUUUAAAAUUAAACCUUAUUUGAAUAAUUCUGUCUAUUUCACCCAGAACAACCACUUUUCAGCUAUCAGGGCAAAUAUAUUAUGAAUUUACAAAUGUGAUUGAAGGCACUGGACAGUAUUUUCCUGGAAGGUGGAAGGUACUUGAUGGAAGGUGGAGAAAAGCUAACCGAUGCCAUGAUUAAAAUGAAGAGAAAAAAAACGUUGAAUCUCCACAUAGUGUGGAAAGUAACAUUUUCCCCCCUAUUCUAUAAGCAUUGAGUCCAGUGGUUUGUUUAUCAUGCCUUUGCCAAUGUCUCUGGGUCGCUUCCAUCAAUGACAACCUCAUGUCCAUGGAAGAUGACCUCAAAGCCACAACGUAUCACAGACAGAUAUCCAGGUCCACGCUGUAUUUGUGUUCCCCUCCAUGUAAUUGUUGUAAUAUACAAUUUAGGAUCCCCCCCAUAUCUUCAUUUUAUUUAUUCUAUUUAUGAAUUACUUUAAGUUAUAGCUGUCUGAAAUAUUACAUUUCUAAGUGAUUUGUUAUUUUGCCAAACCAAAUUGUACGAUCUAAGCACAAUCAGUGUUAUUGAUUUAGUUGAUCAAUACUUGUACAUCCCCUAUUGAAACUUUGAAAGAUUUUUCCUUCUUUCAUGACUGACAAGUCAGUGUGUAUGAUAUUGAGUCAGUGUAUAAGGACAUGUGUUCGUAAGGACAUGCAUGCAUCAGUGGAAUUGUUUUAUUUUCCCUUUUUUACUUAGACUCUAUUUUAUCCCAAAAGUGGGUGUUUGGGAAUGAUAUCUGGACUUUUUAAUCAAUUUAAUUGAUUCUGAUCUUUGUUGGUGUGUGUUUGUCUCUGUAAAAAGACAAAUAGAAUUUUGCCCUCAAAAUUGUUGUUAUUUUAAAAUAUUUCAAAUUCAGUCAACAGAAUUGUCAAUAGGAAUAAUUGCUAUGACAGAAAUAGAUUCUUGCUUCGCUGCUCCUCUUGAUGUUUGGUUGUACAUGCCUGUGAAUGAGGUGAAGGUAUUGGUAUUAUUAAAUGCCUGUGAAUGAGGUGAAGGUAUUGGUGUUAUUAAAUGCCUGUGAAUGAGGUGAAGGUAUUGGUAUUAUUAAAUGCCUGUGAAUGAGGUGAAGAUAUUGGUAUUAUUAAAUGCCUGUGAAUGAGGUGAAGGUAUUGGUGUUAUUAAAUGACUGGGAAUGAGGUGAAGGUAUUGGUAUAACGUUUUUAUGAAGUGAUGAACCAGCUUUGAUUUUCAAUGUUUUUGCUUGUUUUUUCCCUACAACCUCUCUUUCUUCAGUAAGUUGCUUUCCUCUUUCUCUCUCUCUCUCUUUCUUUCUUUCUCUCUUUCUUUCUUUCUCUCUUUCUUUCUUUCUUUCUGUUGUUGUAUGUGCCUCAGUACAUGCGC
ensembl:lncRNA